GGGGGGAGUAACAUCCGGAAACGGGUGCUAAUACCGCAUAGUUUUCUUGAUCACAUGAUUGAGAAAGGAAAGACGGCCUUUGUGCUGUCGCUUAUGGAUGGACCCGCGGCGUAUUAGUUAGUUGGUGAGGUAACGGCUCACCAAGACGAUGGAUACGUAGCCGACCUGAGAGGGUGAUCGGCCACAUUGGGACUGAGACACGGCCCAAACUCCUACGGGAGGCAGCAGUAGGGAAUCUUCCGCAAUGGACGAAAGUCUGACGGAGCAACGCCGCGUGAGUGAAAAGAAGGUUUUCGGAUCGUAAAACUCUGUUGUCAGAGAAGAACAAGUUGGAGAGUAACUGCUCCAGCCUUGACGGUAUCUGACCAGAAAGCCACGGCUAACUACGUGCCAGCCGCCGC
rnacentral:rRNA from 1 species